rnacentral:rRNA from 1 species
AGGCAGCAGUGAGGAAUAUUGGUCAAUGGACGCAAGUCUGAACCAGCCAUGCCGCGUGCAGGAUGACUGCCCUAUGGGUUGUAAACUGCUUUUGUACGGGAAGAAAAAUAGCUACGUGUAGUUAUUUGCCGGUACCGUACGAAUAAGCAUCGGCUAACUCC